UCCCUACGGGUGGCUGCAGGCGCGAAAACUUUACAAUGCUGGCAACAGCGAUAAGGGAACCUCGAGUGCCAGGUUACAAAUCUGGCUGUCGAGAUGCCUAAAAAGCAUUUCAUAGCAAGGGCCGUGCAAGACCGGUGCCAGCCGCCGCGGUAACACCGGCGGCUCGAGUGGUAACCGUUAUUAUUGGGGCUAAAGGGUCUGUAGCCGGCCGGAUAAGUCUCUUGAGAAAUCUGGCAGCUUAACUGUCAGGCUUUCAGGAGAUACUGUCUGGCUCGAGGCCGGGGGAGGUGAGAGGUACUUCAGGGGUAGGGGUGAAAUCUUGUAAUCCUUGAAGGACCACCAGUGGCGAAGGCGUCUCACCAGAACGGACCUGACGGCAAGGGACGAAAGCUAGGGGCACGAACCGGAUUAGAUACCCCUGUAGUCCCA
rnacentral:rRNA from 1 species